rnacentral:lncRNA from 1 species
UUCGGCCCAUUCGAGUCACCUGCACCUGUCCUAUACUAACGUAAAACAUAUAUUUUUCUUUAGGCCUUAGGCCCAAAUUUUCACCUGUCCUAGGCUUCUAACAAAAAUAUAGAAUAGCGACUAAAUAGGCUUAGGCCCAAUAGAUAACAAAAUACAAAUUUGGAAUUAAAAGUGGGCCUUUGGCCCAAUCUUUUCAAUUCUCUAGUCUGCUCCAAUAUUUUUUCGACUCCGGGACCUGUACGCCCAUUUUUGUAGCUGGUCGACUCGGUAGAAGAAAACAUUGGGCUUGAAUGGCCCAUUUGUAAUGCAAAGGGUAGAAGCCCAAGUCCCAAAGGACUCAUCAAUAGAUCACAUGCAUCACAAGAAAAAAAAAAUGAUUAACAUACAAUCUAAUCUCGGUAAAUUGUGAAAGGAGUAGACCAACUUAUAUAUAUAUAAUGAAACAAUGACCCAAGAAAACCAACACAUAAUCCCAUAAAGGAGAUUAUGGAGAAAUACAUUGACAGUUAAUCCAUUUUAAAGGGAAUGAUUAAGAAAAUCACGACCGUUUCCCACAAACAUCUCAAUAUUACCAUUUAACAACAUACCCACAAAUAGAGAAAAAAAAAGAAUAGCAAAUCAUCAUCAAUUAGUUUGACAACCAAAGGUAUAAAUGACAACAUGCUUCUAAGAUAAUUGCAUUUAGCUAAGGAAAUAAGAUAAGGACACAGAAUAACCAAUUUAUGUUGGCAUGCUCACUGGACUUGUAACUUAGCAAGAAAAAAAAAUAAAAAAAAUAAAAAAUAAAAAAUAAAUAAAAAAAACAACUUUUAUACUAUUAUAAGCUUGGAACAAAAUAAGAACAAAUAUAGAAUAAUCAUGGCAACAUUAAUGCAAAUGGCUCUUGUAUCAACAAGCUAAGGAAAAUCUAACUUAAAUGCUCCACUUAAAGAAAAUAACGAAUUAUCCAGUUAAUCGCUGUUGAUUUUAAUCUUUAAGGCGUUGACCAAACUAAGCAAAGAAAAGAAGAGUAUUGAAGGAGCCAUGUAUCAAUUUUUACAAGCACGAAAGAAUAUUAAAACAAUAUAAGCAAGCAAAUCCGAGAGGAUGGCUACACAUUCACAAUAGUGCAUAUUUGCAAUUUAUCAAAAAAUAAACUGGAAGUUGAUAUCGAAACAUACAAAGGAGGCAGAUUCAUUGCGAAUGAAACAACAUGAAAGAUAACAAAGGGAAGACAUUAAGAUUGUUAACAGCAAGGUUUAGAGAUGCAAAGUACUAACAAGCGGACUAAGGUCCUGUUAAGAGCGGGAGGUACGAAUGAGCAAAUAAAAUGGUAAAACGAUCAACUCAUGUGACUUACAUGGAUUUAAGCAACACGAAGAGAAAACAACAUGUGUACGUAUAUAUAUCAGAAGAUCGAAAUCAUCUAUAGAAGAUGACUUCAAUUUUCGAGAUUGAACCAUAACUUUCACAGCCUAUCAAUCGAGAUAAUAGCGAAAUAAGCAUAUUAUAACGAUGAGAACAUUAACUAGGGAAGAGGGGAAAACACCAAGCUUUCAAUGAAAAAACGAAAACAAAUAACUAUGGACUUUCAGGCAGAUUCCAUCACUGUUUAGCAGCCAAUAAAGGGGUCAAAACGCCCAGAUGCUAAUAUGUAAAUAACUUCAUGUUGUUAAGAACAAACCAUUACGAGCAAGAGGUGCUUGAAGCGAGAUGGGCAUUACCUUUAAGGGUGCAGCGAACGGGGACAACGAGUUAGCAGUUGCGAUCCUUCCACCACGAAAAUGAAACCACGAACAGCGAUCCGAACGAAAGUCGAAACUCAAACGAACUACUAGUCUUCUCGAAAGCAGGGAUCGAAGAACUUCCUGCUUUCUAGCUCCCUUUUUUGCUUAAGUCACUCUCUAUUUUUUAGCUAGAAAGAUCCAAUCUAAAAGAUUUCCAACUAAAAAAAAAUCCCUCCCCAAAAUUAUAGAAAAGAUGAUUAUAUUGAGGAAAAUCGAGUAGGUUUUGUGGGGAAUUCGGGUAGAAAUUUGGGGUCAAUCCCGAAUUCAAAAUUCGAAUUCUUUCACCAAUUUGGGGGAGACAUGCUUUUUCUAAAAUUUUCUCCCCAUUCCGAAAGAGGAAAGGGGAGAAACGCAUGCCUGCUGGGAUUGGAACGGUACUGCCGAAACAGUACUGGGUUGCCUCAUGAUUCUGGGUUUCAUCGCGUUGUGGAGAAAAAGAGCGCGUGGGUGGGGUCGGGUGUUGUCGCUGC